rnacentral:rRNA from 1 species
AGUCAUAUGCUUGUCUCAAAGAUUAAGCCAUGCAUGUCUCAGUACAAGCCAUAUUAAGGUGAAACCGCGAAAGGCUCAUUAAAUCAGUUAUGGUUCCUUAGAUCGUACCCACAUUUACUUGGAUAACUGUGGUAAUUCUAGAGCUAAUACAUGCAAACAGAGCUCCGACCGGAGACGGAAGGAGUGCUUUUAUUAGAUCAAAACCAAUCGGCGUCAAUUUGGUUUACCUUAUUGUUCGUCGCACUUUUUGGUGACUCUGAAUAACUUUUGGCUGAUCGCACGGUCUUGCACCGGCGACGCAUCUUUCAAAUGUCUGCCUUAUCAACUGUCGAUGGUAGGUUCUGCGCCUACCAUGGUUGUAACGGGUAACGGGGAAUCAGGGUUCGAUUCCGGAGAGGGAGCCUGAGAAACGGCUACCACAUCCAAGGAAGGCAGCAGGCGCGCAAAUUACCCACUCCCGGCACGGGGAGGUAGUGACGAAAAAUAACGAUACGGGACUCAUCCGAGGCCCCGUAAUCGGAAUGAGUACAGUUUAAAUCCUUUAACAAGGACCAAUUGGAGGGUAAGUCUGGUGCCAGCAGCCGCGGUAAUUCCAGCUCCAAUAGCGUAU